UACGGAGGGGACUAGCGUUGUUCGGAAUUACUGGGCGUAAAGCGCACGUAGGCGGAUUUGUAAGUCAGGGGUGAAAUCCCGAGGCUCAACCUCGGAACUGCCUUUGAUACUGCAAAUCUCGAGUCCGGAAGAGGUGAGUGGAAUUCCUAGUGUAGAGGUGAAAUUCGUAGAUAUUAGGAAGAACACCAGUGGCGAAGGCGGACUCACUGGUCCGGUACUGGACGCUGAGGUGCGAAAGCGUGGGGAGCAAACAGGGAUUAAGAAACCC
rnacentral:rRNA from 1 species